rnacentral:tRNA from 1 species
AGUUAUAUAGUUUAAAAAAAACAUUAAUUUUGUAAAUUAAAUAUAAAAUAAAAUUUUAUAACUU